AAGCCGACCCGAAAGCCGGCCUGGACGCACCCCCCUCGCUGCUCCUCCGGUGCUGGGGGAUCUGAAGAGGGGCAGGCGGCCGGGCAGCGCCUCCGGGUCUCUGCGAGCUGGGAAGAGCCAGGGACCGAAUGGCCUUCGGCCGCUGCCCUCGGAGGCCGCUUCUUGCCCCUCGUCCCCUGGGGCGAGCCACUGGGGCGUAGUGGGCGUGGCAGUGGGCAGCCACGUUCAGGGUCGAGGUCUGAGCCGGAAAUGGUGACUCGGGCCUCGGGACCUUUCUGAACUGCGGGAGCCGAUGUGCUUAGGCUGGACACUGGCUGGGAGGAGGCCUCCGAGCCCCAUUAUUUCCCCGGGGUGGGUGACUGUUAGGGGCGGGUGUCAGCACAGCGAGAAGAGCUCUCCCAAGCAGGGGUCCACCUCUGCCGACCUUGUCCGCGGCCAAAAGAAACAGCAGCACAGUUGCCCACCACGAAACCAAGUGCCCGGCACACGAUCUCCGUGUUUACAUUUGUUCGCCAGCACGUGGGCAUGCGUUGGCAAAACCGAUUGGCCCGGCUCGCGGCAAACUCAAACGCAAUUUUAAAAAAUUUCCCUAGUGCUUCGUUAAACUGAUUUAAUCUGUCCCUUAAUGCACUUACACGUUUCUUCCAGUUUUCU
rnacentral:lncRNA from 1 species